UGCACUCCAGCCUGGGUGACAAAGUGAGACUCUGUCUCAAAAAAAAAAAAAUUAAAACAACCCCAAGUCCCAUAAGAUGUCUUGCACAAUAUUUAAAAAAUAAUAUGUGAGCUAUUUUAAGCAGGUAUUUUAUUUUAUUAUUGUUAUUACUGUCUUUAUCAUUAUUAAUAAUUAUUAAACAAGUAACUGGAAAAUGCCUGGUUAGAAAUCUGAGGGCUGUGUCCAGAGAGGGAGAGAAAGCACCGCCGCAUUUAGGUGAGACCAGUGAUUUAGACACCACCUCCACCUGCUGGCAGCAUUGCCAAACUACAGGUCCCAGUGUUAAGAGGCUGAAAUAAAAGUUUGAGAAAUGAUCAGCUUUAAAUUGUGAGGUGACAGCAAAUGUCACGGGCAAUAACUCAUCAAAUAGCUUCUCUCAACUUCUUGCGGGUCUUUUUUGGGCACAGACUGAAGUAGUUAGCAUAAGCGUACUUCAGGAUACAUAACCGCUAGAUUUUGGUUUGGUGAACUUUUUUUUUUUUUUUGGAUACAGAGUCUCGCUCUGUCGUCCUGGCUGGAGUGCAGUGGCACCAUCUCAGUUCACUGCAACCUCCGCCUCCCAGGUUCAAGCAAUUCUCCUGCCUCAGCCUCCCGAGUAGCUGGGACUACAGGAGCCCACCACCACGCCCAGCUAAUUUUUUGUAUUUUAGGAGAGACGGGGUUUCACCGUGUUGCCCAGGCUGGUCUCAAACUCUUGAGCUCAGGAAAUCCGCUCGACUCGGCCUCCCAAAGUGCUAGGAUUAAAGGCGUGAGCCACCGCCUCUGGCCUGGUGAACUUCUUAAAGGAAGGCUGUGAUUUCCGUGAAUGAUGCGGAUAAUUCUGCUUUGUCUGCGUGGUCUAUUGAUGGAGGUUGGGCAGCACAGAGCCCAGAGCCCAGCAACUCAAGCACCAUAAGAAACAGCACACUGAAACGUGGCCACGGUUCACUUCAUGCUUUUCUGAUGCCAUGAGCACUUUUAUUACACCUAGAUCAGGUCUGAAUUCAACAUAAAGUUUAAGGGUCUUGAGGUUAAAGUGCUUUAAAAAUAAAAAUCUGUCACCACGGAAAACAUUGAAAGCCUGCUGUGAACCCUGGCGCUCCUUCUGGCGGGGUAGUUUGUGUAUUUUCUUACUAAAUGUGCUGAAGCCCUAUUUGGCUUAUCUGCUUGUUUGGAAAAAUGUGUCUAGAGUUGGAACUGCCUUACUGGCUGAUGAAUUAUUUUUCUAAAUGGUUGGCUGGGCUUGGUGCCACAUAGCCAGAAAGAUAUUCCUUGCAUCCAAUUUCCAUUUCCCUGGUAAAGGACACUUUUCCUGUCUAUCUUUGCCACAGAAAGCAAUCUUUGUGUACAUUUCCAUUUGUCAAUAAAUAAUUCAAAAGGCCUUAAGCUCUGUUUUUUUGACAACUAAACAAUUUUCUUGAACUGUAAGCUGAAGUACCUGUAAGAGUGCUUUAUAGGUGAUAAUUUCUCAAGUCAAAGCCACUGUUCUGCCUUACUGAAAAAGACUGCCGCAAUGAAAGGGAGGCUUUUGGUCCGUAUUAAAACUCUCCUAGAGAGACUAAGUAAGUGGGACAAAGUGCUUCCAGCACAAAACAUUUCCACUGAGCCGAGUUCCGCCUUCACAUACUGAUGUCCUGACCAAGUUCUGUCCCGGCCUCUCGCCCUGUAAUGGACCACGGGACGGUGCUUCAAGGUACCUUUCAGAAAUGUUUUCAGCUCUCAAAAUAAAGAUUUACAGGAAAUAAUUCAUGGGCCAUGAAUUAAGGCAGACUAACUAAAAAUAGGCUUGAUGCUAUGAAACCUUAUUUACCCAAAUUAUAAUUAACAAGAGGGCUGUUACUUUUCCCAAGCUCUGUCUCUGAACAGCCUUGAAUAAGGGGGUCAGGCUCCAGCAGAGCUUCAAGUCAUAGGGUUUCUGGUUAAGGACCAUACUUCCAAGCAUCCAGCUAGUUUCUCUGAAAAAACAAAUACCUGCUUUUCUAGGAAAACAGAUCGGGUUUAAAGUUCCAUUAGCCUGAAACUUAGCAAAGGAAAACAUUACUUUCUUCCUGAAAUAUUUCAGAAUGGAAUAAUUUGUAAAAGUAUACAUGACUAGAAGAUGGAAAAUUACACAAAACAUCCUGAAAAAAAUCUAUGAAUUAAACAACAGUUUAUUGCUACUUAACUCAGAUAAACUAAGUAAAAACAACAAUAAAAGCCCUAAAAUGAAAAAUAAAGCAGGGUGGGGAGAGUUGUAAUCAGAUGACUUAUCUCCACUCUUUGCUUUUAUAAUUGUAUCUCCCAGGAGCUUUUUAAUCUGAUGCAUUACAUCAGAAAAAUGAAUUAAUAGAAGCCAAAAGACUUGAGACAUUUUAUACCAAAUAUAACAAUGACAAAAAUGAUUAUCUAAUUACUAAUUCUGAAAAAUUCCCAUAUUAUACAGUUGAAGAUAAGAAACAUACAUAACAAAAAUGAGACAAGAAUUGUAGAAGACAGAACCAUGGGUAACUAUAUAACUCUUCUGAACCUUCAUUUUUCCUCAUAUUUUCCUUAACUUUUAAAAUUGAGUUUUUCUCCUCAGUAUUUGAGCAAAAAUUUUCUUGUUUAGAAACACUGGGUCAAAGUAAAUAUAACAAGUAUUCACUUGGAGGCUGUCUGCUGUGAUAAACUUUAAAUCGCUAGAGAUUUCUUUCCUUAAAAAUGUAUUACCACUUCUUAUGUUAUAAUCUGUGCUAACUUUGGGAGGCCGAGGAGGGUGGAUCAUUUGAGGUUAGGAGUUUGAGAUCAGCCUGACCAACAUGGUGAAACCCUGUCUCUACUAAAAAUACAAAAAAAUUAGCCAAGUGUGGUGGCACAUGCCUGUAAUUCUGGCUACUUGGGAGGCUGAGACACAAGAAUCGCUUGAACCCAGGAGGUGAAGGUUGCAGUGAGCUGAGAUCAUACCACUGCACUCCAGCCUGGGCAAGACAGCGAGACUCUGUCUCAAAAAGAAAGAAAGAAAGAAAGAAAAUCUGUGUUAAAAUGUCAUUUUAACCAUCAGAAUUGUGCACUACCAGCUAGUGGUCAAAAACUAGCUGAAGGGCCAAGAGCAAUGACUCACACCUGUAAUCCCAGCACUUUAGUAGGCCAAGGCAGGAGGAUCAACUGAGGCCAGGAGUUUGAGAUCAGCCUGGGCAAAAAUACAAAAAUUAGCCAGGUGUGGUGGUGCGUCACUGUAGACCUAGCUACUUGGGAGGCUGAGGUGGGAGAAUCACUUGAGUGCAGGGGUUCGACACUGUAGUGAGCCAUGAUCACACUGGUGCGCUCCAGCCUGCCCAACAGAACAAGACCUUGGUUCUAAACAAACAAACAAACUAAAAGGAAAGUAGAUUUAAACAAUGCACUUCCUUAUGUAAUUUUUUUUUUUUGAGACAGGGUCUCACACUGUCAUCCAGGCUGGAGUACAGUGGUGCAAUUAUAGCUCACUGAGCCCUCUCAAGUAGCUGGGACUACAGGCAUGCGCCACCACAUGCAGCUAAUUUUUCCCUUCC
rnacentral:lncRNA from 10 species